AAGAAAUCCCUCUUCAUGCUGAAAGAGCUCACCAACAAAUUCAGGCAGCCUGUGAAACGUUUGAUGUCCGAAGCCAACAGCACAUUCAGAUCCCCAAGCUCUACACCUCCAAUGUGACCUGGGGCUUGCACCACUUCAGGCUCGUGCAGGACUCACAGCCUUUGGACCUCAGCUAAGGGACCUGCUUCUCUGUAGCACAUGGGGCUUGUUUGUGUUGGGGUCUGAGCCCUGAGCUCAUGGUCAAGGAGAACCCCAGGUCCUUCUGAACAGAGACAGCUGGCCUCGGGGCCUCCCUCUCACUGCAUGCAAGAGCCUGUUAGGGCACAAGACUCAAGGCGCUGAGGGAGGCUGUUUCAGGAGGGAGCCGCAGAAGGAUGGUGGAGAGAGAAGGGGACAGCAUCCGCCGAGGGCCUACUGUGUGCCAGGCACUGUCCAGGGCUCCUGGCCCACAUGGGCUAAGUGAAUCUGGACACUCCUCCUGGGAGAAAGGCACAGAUGGAGAAAUUGCAGUUCAGGGAGGUGAAGCAAGCUGCUAGCCUGUGGCCACUUUGGGAUCUGAGCGCCAGCCUUCUAGCCACAAAGGCAGCAAAGGGUCAUGAAGAAGGCAUCACAGAGGCGAUUCCAGGCUGUAGUGGUGAACUCUCCACUCUGCACCCCCAGGUGCUGUGCCCUGUGCCCUGAUUAGAUAGUCCUGAAGGUUUCUACAUGUUUAAGAUAUCCCCAAUGUCAACGAUGCUCUCCUGUGGAUCCCAAGCUGUGGAGAUGUCCUGGGACUUUCCAUUUUAGGUUCCUAAAUUGAAUUUCCCAACACCUAGAAGCAACCCAGCUGCCCUGUAUCAGACCAAGGACCUUUAUUUGUGAUUCAGAAACAGUGGAAUAAAAGGAAAGGAAAGAAAACCCCAACAGCCACCUCAGGAGGAUGCCCCAAGGGUAGUGCUCUGGUGUCACUGACUCAGACAUGUGGGGGCUUCUGCCACCCACGCUCAAGAGCCACUUUGCCGUUUCACCGUCUCUGUGUCCUCCACAGCCCUCAGCAGCAUGCACGCCAAUAACAUGUUCACCACGAGGCUCAAAUCUCAGCAGAAGCUACAGAGUCCAACAUCCAGGUAAGGGAAAGUGCAGGGCUUCUCGGGUGAUGCUCUACUGAUUUUAUUUUAAUGAAUGAAAGACCAGAAGAAGUCAGUCUUUGAAGGGAGAGGAGAGGAGCAUCUGCUGGCAUUAGCAGCCAUGCCAUCGGUAGGACUGGCUCACCUGGUAACCUGUGGCCACCUGUGCUUUUACAUCUACUCUUGGUUAACCACGGGCCACUUUUCCAGCUUGGACUCUAAGCGUCUGUUCCACUUCCUCUCCUUCCUCAUUGAACUCUUUCACUAAAAGGAGAGUGCAAG
rnacentral:lncRNA from 10 species